rnacentral:rRNA from 1 species
GAUGCAGCCAUGCCGCGUGUGUGAAGAAGGCCUUCGGGUUGUAAAGCACUUUCAGUUGUGAGGAAAAGUUAGUAGUUAAUACCUGCUAGCCGUGACGUUAACAACAGAAGAAGCACCGGCUAACUCCGUGCCAGCAGCCGCGGUAAUACGGAGGGUGCGAGCGUUAAUCGGAAUUACUGGGCGUAAAGCGCACGCAGGCGGUUUGUUAAGCUAGAUGUGAAAGCCCCGGGCUCAACCUGGGAUGGUCAUUUAGAACUGGCAGACUAGAGUCUUGGAGAGGGGAGUGGAAUUCCAGGUGUAGCGGUGAAAUGCGUAGAUAUCUGGAGGAACAUCAGUGGCGAAGGCGACUCCCUGGCCAAAGACUGACGCUCAUGUGCGAAAGUGUGGGUAGCGAACAGGAUUAGAUACCCUGGUAGUCCACACCGUAAACGCUGUCUACUAGCUGUUUGUGACUUUAAGUCGUGAGUAGCGAAGCUAACGCGCUAAGUAGACCGCCUGGGGAGUACGGCCGCAAGGUUAAAACUCAAAUGAAUUGACGGGGGCCCGCACAAGCGGUGGAGCAUGUGGUUUAAUUCGAUGCAACGCGAAGAACCUUACCUACACUUGACAUGCAGAGAACUUUCUAGAGAUAGAUUGGUGCCUUCGGGAACUCUGACACAGGUGCUGCAUGGCUGUCGUCAGCUCGUGUCGUGAGAUGUUGGGUUAAGUCCCGCAACGAGCGCAACCCUUGUCCUUAGUUGCCAGCAUUCAGUUGGGCACUCUAAGGAGACUGCCGGUGACAAACCGGAGGAAGGUGGGGACGACGUCAAGUCAUCAUGGCCCUUACGUGUAGGGCUACACACGUGCUACAAUGGCAUUUACA